AUACGGAGGGGGUUAGCGUUGUUCGGAAUUACUGGGCGUAAAGCGCACGUAGGCGGACUGGAAAGUUGGGGGUGAAAUCCCGGGGCUCAACCCCGGAACUGCCUCCAAAACUUCCAAUCUAGAGAUCGAGAGAGGUGAGUGGAAUUCCAAGUGUAGAGGUGAAAUUCGUAGAUAUUUGGAGGAACACCAGUGGCGAAGACGGCUCACUGGCUCGAUACUGACGCUGAGGUGCGAAAGCGUGGGGAGCGAACAGGAUUAGAAACCCCGGUAGUCC
rnacentral:rRNA from 1 species